UUCGGCCGUAUCACGUUGAAACACUGGUUCUCGUGCGAUCACCGAAGUUAAGCAAAGUCGAGCCUAGUCAAUACCUAGAUGGGUGACUGUUUAUAAAUAUCAGGUACUGUAAG